GGAUGAACGCUAGCGGCAGGCCUAACACAUGCAAGUCGAGGGGUAUAGGGAGCUUGCUUCCUAGAGACCGGCGCACGGGUGCGUAACGCGUAUGCAAUCUACCUUGUACAGGGGAAUAGCCCAGAGAAAUUUGGAUUAAUGCCCCAUAGUAUUAUUAAAUGGCAUCCUUUAAUAAUUAAAGUUCCAACGGUACAAGAUGAGCAUGCGUCCUAUUAGUUAGUUGGUGUGGUAACGGCAUACCAAGACGAUGAUAGGUAGGGGUCCUGAGAGGGAGAUCCCCCACACUGGUACUGAGACACGGACCAGACUCCUACGGGAGGCAGCAGUGAGGAAUAUUGGACAAUGGGCGCAAGCCUGAUCCAGCCAUGCCGCGUGCAGGAAGACGGUCCUAUGGAUUGUAAACUGCUUUUAUACAGGAAGAAACACUGGUUCGUGAACCAGCUUGACGGUACUGUAAGAAUAAGGAUCGGCUAACUCCGUG
rnacentral:rRNA from 1 species